UGCUCAUCCAGAGGGACUGAGGGAACGGCCCUGAGAAGUCCCGGCAACCGCCGCGAACCCCCGUACGAACCAGCAACAGCUGGAACCUACGUCGCGGAAACGGUGCCAAAUCCGACCCGGAGCGAGAGCCGCACGGGACAGAUGAGAA
rnacentral:ncRNA from 2 species